GAUGAACGCUGGCGGCGUGCCUAAUACAUGCAAGUCGAGCGAACAGAUGAGGAUCUUGCUCCUCUGACGUUAGCGACGGACGGGUGAGUAACACGUGGAUAACCUACCUAUAAGACUUGGAUAACUUCGGGAAACCGGAGCUAAUACCGUAUAAUUUCUUGAACCGCUGGGUUGAGGAAAGAAUUACGGUUUUGCGGUCGCUUCUCGAUGUAUCCGCUCGGUGUUAGGUAGUUGGUAAGGUAAGGGCUUACCAAGGAAACGAUGCGUAGCCGACCUGGGCGGGUGAUCGGCCACACUGGAACUUGGACAGCGACCAGGCUACUGCGGGAGGGAGCAGUAGGGAAUCGUACGCAACAGUCGAAAGCAUUACGGAGCAACGGCGAGUGUGUGAUGACGGUCUUCGGAUCGUAAAGCUCUGCUUCUGGGGAUAAACAACUGUGUAUAUAAAUGUGCCGGUCUUGACGGUACCUACACAGAAAGCCACGGCUAACUACGUG
rnacentral:rRNA from 1 species